GACAGAGGUUCCGAGCGUUAGGCGGAAUCACUGGGCUUAAAGCGUGUGUAGGCGGGCGGGCAAGUACCUUGUGAAAUCCCACGGCUCAACCGUGGAACGGCUGGGUAUACUGCCUGUCUUGAGCCAACUAGGGGCGAGCGGAACAGACGGUGGAGCGGUGAAAUGCGUAGAUAUCAUCAGGAACACCGGAGGCGAAGGCGGCUCACUGGGUCUUUUCUGACGCUGAGGGACGAAAGCUAGGGGAGCGAACGGG
rnacentral:rRNA from 1 species